rnacentral:rRNA from 1 species
GAUGAACGCUAGCGGGAGGCCUAACACAUGCAAGCCGAGCGGUAUUGUUUCUUCGGACAUGAGAGAGCGGCGUACGGGUGCGUAACACGUGUGCAACCUGCCUUUAUCUGGGGGAUAGCCUUUCGAAAGGAAGAUUAAUACUCCAUAAUAUAUUGAACGGCAUCGUUUAAUAUUGAAAGCUCCGGCGGAUAGAGAUGGGCACGCGCAAGAUUAGCUAGUUGGUGAGGUAACGGCUCACCAAGGCGAUGAUCUUUAGGGGGCCUGAGAGGGUGAUCCCCCACACUGGUACUGAGACACGGACCAGACUCCUACGGGAGGCAGCAGUGAGGAAUAUUGGGCAAUGGGUGCAAGCCUGAACCAGCCAUCCCGCGUGAAGGACGACUGCCCUAUGGGUUGUAAACUUCCUUUGUAUAGGGAUAAACCUACCCUCGAGAGGGUAGCUGAAGGUACUAUACGAAUAAGCACCGGCUAACUCCGUG